rnacentral:tRNA from 1 species
GGGCAGGUGGUGAAAUUGGUAAACACGCUAGGUUUAGGACCUAGUGCCUUAAUCGGCUUGGAGGUUCGAGUCCUCUCCUGCCCACCG